CCCGCGGCAGGCGUGUGCGCGCGCACCUGCGCGCCCCCAGCGAAAUUCGGAAUCAUCAACGAAUAGCACAGUCAUGUGUGUCAGGAUUCCGCUUUCCUAGGAACGUAAGGAAAUGCACGUGAGGGUUUGAAAGACCUUGUUCAGCCACUACGUGCACGGGAGGUAGGCACAGGCCUGCGAGUUAACGAAAGGUGCCGGGAGUGUGGAAUGUUGCUUUGUUGCACUUCAUUUGUCAUUGACUGUCUUGGGCAUUAAAUUUUUUUUGUAAAUACAUCAUUCGGUUUUUCUUAAAACCAGAAAAUAAAUUCCUUGCGCUGUUGCCUUUCUAACCUUCUAAAUAGAUUUUUGUCUUCCUAAAUUGUCUCGCAAUAAAUCGCCAAUACCCGUU